rnacentral:rRNA from 1 species
GACGAACGCUGGCGGCGUGCUUAACACAUGCAAGUCGAGCGGUAAGGCCCUUUCGGGGGUACACGAGCGGCGAACGGGUGAGUAACACGUGGGUGACCUGCCUUUAGCUCUGGGAUAAGCCUGGGAAACUGGGUCUAAUACCGGAUAUGACUCCGCGGUGCAUGCUGUGGGGUGAAAGCCUUGUGCGGCUGGAGAUGGGCCCGCGGCCUAUCAGCUUGUUGGUGGGGUGAUGGGCCUACCAAGGCGACGACGGGUAGCCGGCCUGAGAGGGCGACCGGCCACACUGGGACUGAGACACGGCCCAGACUCCUACGGGAGGCAGCAGUGGGGAAUUGUUCGCAAUGGGCGCAAGCCUGACGACGCAACGCCGCGUGGAGGAUGAAGAUUUUCGGAUCGUAAACUCC